CGUGUUUUAGUUGGUUUACGAUAUGCAACCACACGGAGUAGUAAAUUGUCAAGUUGGCUUUGUCAAGUUGGCUAGUUGCCAACUUGUCUAUUUGCCUACUGCAAAUAUACCCAAUAUCUUGGCUAGACCUCUAUAGCCUAACUUAUAAAUUAAAGGCUUGAAAUCGAAAAUGGCGGACCGUUGCACAUACAGAAAACUAUGAAGGCGCGGCGGGACUAUGAUUUUAACACACGAAGGACAGGACAUACAUUAAUACUUGAGAAAUUAAGUAAAUAUCGUUCAAGCAUUGGUAAUCUUUAGUUCGAUUUGUGGCGACGUUUGGAAAUCAACUUGAGUCCUAUUCGAUCAACUGGAAUGUAGACUAUCGCAUGAGGACGUGAAGAGUUGGCCAGGCGUUUAAUAUGGAUCCAUUUAGACAUCACCUACGGGCUGAGAGUAUCACAUGGCUGCACCUUUCAACUACAGAGGCUUGGCAUGUAACAGCAAUUAAACCUUUUAACAACACACAAGCAUUCUGGAGGGUGAAAAUAAUCAUCAGUGAAGUCGCAGAGGAGUUGUCACUUUUAAUUGAAAACCUGGCAUUGUCUGUUAGGAAACUGCAAGCAAUGAAGGGCAUCGAAUGUCAAAUCACUGAAAGUAUGAGGAUUGUUGCACAUGAAACUGGAAAUGAUAUCAAACAUAUAUUUUAAUUUACAAGUGAAAGUUUUGCAAAAUGUGGUAUUAUUUGGUGCAGAUCAUCAUGAUUAUAAAACAACAAUAAUGGUAUAUUCCACACAGUCAUUUCAAGUGCUCAUUUUUCUAGCAAUUAGUAUGCUGAAAAAAUAUUGAAACUUAAAGAAAUUGAAUGGGAUGAAGACAUCAAAGAAAAUUGAAAACUCUUCUAAUCUGAACAAAGAACGGAUAUUACAGUUCAGUGGAAGAUUUACAGAAUAUGAAGGAAGCAAAUUAGGCACAGUGUUUCAACAUAAUGUGAAGUGUUAUAAAUGUUCCAUGACUUAGUAUACAUACAUGUAAUGAGUGAUAAGUUACUAAAAAGUGUUGUUAAUAGUUCCAUGUGCAAAAAGUGCUGGUGUUAGGUGUUGAGGUUGUGAUGAUGGUUAUGUAAUAAUUCUGGAUAAAUUAUUAUUGGACUAUCGUCUUUGGUAAGUUAUCUUCAGUUAUUAGAACUUUUGCUUGACAAAUAUGACAUCUUAUUUGAAUUUAAAGGGUAAUUCAUUAGACCAAAUCUUGAUUAUCUUGAUUAGAGUAACUGAAAAUAAAAUUUGUAUUGAUCAAUUCUUUGAAAAGGAAUGAAGAAAUGGAAGAGGGAGGUGCUUACAAUUUGAAUAUUUGAUGGAGGUGCUUACAAUUUGAAUAUUUGAUGGAGGUGCUUACAAUUUGAAUAUUUGAUGGAGGUGCUUACAAUUUGAAUAUUUGAUGGAGGUGCUUACAAUUUGAAUAUUGUAUUAAGUAAAGGAGCUGAAAACUUAAAGGACCUGUUUCAUGACUGACUAACUUACAAUCUGCCAUGCAACCUUUCACAUUAAAUUUGCAAGUUUGGCAAAAGCUGUUCUUUUUUUACCAAUCUGAGAUGCAGCACUGAUAUACAGAAAUAAUAUUACUUUUAGUUCUUUGGUAUAAAUUUGUCAAAGACCCAAUUUAAGAUUAGUUAAGGGGACAUUGCGUGAUUAAGUUAUUAAUUUUAGGGGAUACAGCCUACAACAAUAAAACUAAGAAGAAGGAAACCUUGACAUGUUAAAGAAAAUUGUAAGUAAAAUUGACUACAGCCAAAUAGGCAAUAACUUGUUGUACUAGUACUACAAACAUGUUGAGUGAAGAGAGCUCUGCUCUAAACAUACUGGCAUUUUCUUGUCACAGCCAAACAUAAUAGGAAAAUACAAACAAGCAAAAUUGACCUACGAACAAAUAACACCAUAUUUUAAUUAGUCCCCUACCAGUGAAACAAUAUGGAGAUUAUGCACGUCAUUUCAUUUCAUCAUGAAUGAUGGAUA